AGUCCAGUUUGAGCUAUAAUGUAAAACUUUUAACGCAGUAGCGUUAUGCUCUUAAAACUCACACUGGUAAAGAAAAUACUCUACCAGGAACAAAGGGGAGAGCAGUCUGGUCUUGAAGUCUUCAGGGUCAAACACAUCAAGAAUAAAAGCAAUUGCCUGAGGUGGUCGAUUCAAAUACAUUGAAGAUAACCUGGAUUCACCUCUGACCUCAUCAUCUCAGAAUUGAAUCAUCCUCGGCAUGACCUACUAUAUUGUGCAACCCACUUUCUCCCCAUCACCACCAUGACGUCCAUGUUGUCCAUCUCAGAGCAGCAGUUUCCUCCGUCAGUAGAGCCUGAGAGCGGAGUCACACCAGCACGCUCCACUGGGCUCUGUGAAAGGAUGCCACUUAGUGUGAACUAACACAUUGUUUUAGAGUGUGCAUGUGUGUGUGUGUGUGUUUUUGUCCUUUUCCUUUUUUGCUUUGUUUUUACGUUUUCGUUUUCUUUCUUUUUUUCUAUAUUUCAACAAGAACAAGCCGAUUUGAGAAAGUUUCAUAUAAUCCACAUCAUAUGGCUCACAAGAUAUAAUAUACCUGGUACAUAGAGAUGAAGUGAUUUAUAUACCACAGACAGUCAACACAUGAUGACCCUUUAUACUACUGAUUAUUGAUAAUUAUUAUUGAUUAAUGGUCAAUUAUAAUAUUAUUCUGAAACCAUCAUAAAAGACUAUAAUCAUGAACUCUGCUAAUGUUUGCAUAUUCAAUCAUAUUUUGUUGUCUCAUAAAACUUUCCUUCGAUUCUAAACAUAUUGUUAUAUGUUUUGGGCGCCUGGUAAAUCGAGAUUUGCCAUAAUGUUCAUCAGGCUUUUUCAAUGCAAAUGGCCCAGUUGUACACAUUGGAGUCUACAGGGCCUGUACCUAAUUUCUAUUGCAUCUUUAAUGUAUUUUCAGAUCUUUAUGCUUCUCUGGUUUAAUCUUUUUGACCAUGGCCUUUUGAGAGAUGUGAAUAAUCCCUAAAUAAGUCAGUACUUCAGAGGGAAACUGUCAACAACAAGAAUAAUUAACUAUUAGGCAUUAAAAAUUAUUCCAGAGGUGUGGUUUCAGCACAUUGUUACUAUUUGAUUUUUUCAUUCAGUUUUGCACCUCCACUGUAACAACCACAAGGUUUGACAGAAGUUUUAGCAGACAGACCCAGCGAUCAUGUUCAGUCAAGUAGAAGCCUUAAAUAUGUCUUCAGAUAUCUCAUUGAUAGAAUAAAGAUUCACAGACAGAAGGAUGUUAUUAUUCUUUUAUUUUUUUAAUACUUGAUUUUAAGGAACUCUUACAUAGUUAUAUACAGUCUACCAUUUUUAUUCUUUGGUAUCUCAAAAACAAAUAUAUACUGUAUGUAGUAUGUUAAUGAACUUAAAGACAUACUAUGCAGGAUUUGUCAGU